UAGGGAAUCUUCGGCAAUGGGGGGAACCCUGACCGAGCAACGCCGCGUGAGUGAAGAAGGUUUUCGGAUCGUAAAGCUCUGUUGUUAAGGAAGAACGAGUGUGAGAAUGGAAAGUUCAAACUGUGACGGUACUUAACCAGAAAGGGACGGCUAACUACGUGCCAGCAGCCGCGGUAAUACGUAGGUCCCGAGCGUUGUCCGGAUUUAUUGGGCGUAAAGCGAGCGCAGGCGGUUAGAUAAGUCUGAAGUUAAAGGCAGUGGCUCAACCAUUGUAGGCUUUGGAAACUGUUUAACUUGAGUGCAGAAGGGGAGAGUGGAAUUCCAUGUGUAGCGGUGAAAUGCGUAGAUAUAUGGAGGAACACCGGUGGCGAAAGCGGCUCUCUGGUCUGUAACUGACGCUGAGGCUCGAAAGCGUGGGGAGCGAACAGG
rnacentral:rRNA from 1 species